UGCAAGCCUCUUUGGCAGUGGAUCUUCACUAGCUUUUCUUCACCCAUUACAUGCACAUGCUCUAUCAACAGUUCAAGGUUACAGAGGGUAUGGAGCUGAGCAAGGCCACAUGG